rnacentral:rRNA from 1 species
AGAGUUUGAUCCUGGCUCAGGACGAACGCUGGCGGCAUGCUUAACACAUGCAAGUCGAGGGGCACUUCGGUGCCACUGGCGCACGGGUGAGUAACACGUAGGUCAUCUGCCCCUAUCACAGACAUAACCCCGGGAAACCGGGGCUAAUAUCUGAUGAGGUCGCGAGAUCAAAGCUUCGGCGGAUAGGGAUGAGCCUGCGGCUGAUUAGCUAGUUGGUGAGGUAAUGGCUCACCAAGGCGACGAUCAGUAGCUGGUCUGAGAGGACGAACAGCCACACUGGAACUGAGACACGGUCCAGACUCCUACGGGAGGCAGCAGUGAGGAAUAUUGGUCAAUGGGCGCAAGCCUGAACCAGCAAUGCCGCGUGUGGGAUGACGGCGCUCUGCGUUGUAAACCACUGUCGGACGGGACGAAAAGAGGCAACAGCCUCCGAGACGGUACCGUCAAAGGAAGGGUCGGCUAACUACGUGCCAGCAGCCGCGGUAAUACGUAGGACCCAAGCAUUGUCCGGAUUCACUGGGUAUAAAGGGUGCGUAGGCGGUCUUGUGCGUCAGAGGUGAAAUAUCCGGGCUCAACCCGGAGGGUGCCUUUGAUACGGCAGGACUUGAGUGCGAGAGAGGAUGAUGGAAUUCCUGGUGUAGCGGUGAAAUGCGUAGAUAUCAGGAGGAACACCGGUGGCGAAGGCGGUCAUCUGGCUCGCAACUGACGCUGAGGCACGAAAGCGUGGGGAUCAAACAGGAUUAGAUACCCUGGUAGUCCACGCCCUAAACGAUGUAUGCUUGGUGUUGGGUCCGCAAGGA